rnacentral:rRNA from 1 species
UACGGGGGGGGCAAGCGUUGUUCGGAAUUACUGGGCGUAAAGGGCUGGUAGGCGGCCAACUAAGUCCGACGUGAAAUCCCAAGGCUUAACCUUGGAACUGCGUCGGAUACUGGAUGGCUUGAAUUCGGGAGAGGGAUGCGGAAUUCCAGGUGUAGCGGUGAAAUGCGUAGAUAUCGUAAGGAAGACCAGUGGCGAAGGCGGGUCUCUGGACAGUUCCUGACGCUGAGGCACGAAGGUCAGGGGAGCAAACGGG